GCCGGCUCGCGUUCGACUCGCGUUCGACUCGAUAUUUGGUUCGCUCGAGCUCGACUCAAAAUUAAAUGAGCCGAGCUUGAACAAAAAAAAAAGGCUCGAAAUUCAUUUCAAGCCGAGCUUGAGUAUUACUCGGCUCAUUCCAAUUAGGCUCGAAAAGUUCGAAAAGCUCGAAUAUAUAUAUAGUAGAGCUACUAUGCUAUCGAAAGUAUAGAAAUCUGGUACUUUCGAUUUUUUGAUUCUUAGAUCAAUCCAUUUAAUCGUUUCUUAUCUUUGGAUUAAUAUUAUUAUUACCUUGUAGGGACCACUCAAUUCUAAGAGUAUUAUUUAAUCCUAGGGGAGACCGCAAUUAUCCAAACCAUACAAUUUUUAAUCAAAGGUCAAAAAUUCAAAAACAUCAAAUCCUCUAUAUUUUCGCUAGCAUUGUAGUUCUACACUAUAUAUAUAUUAAAAUAUAUAUAAAUAUAAUAUAUUUUAAUUAUAUAUAGGCUGAGUGAAUAAUCUGAGUCUAGUUAAAAUUGGGCCAAUAUUGGCCCAUAAAGACAAAUCUAAUAGACAAAUAAAAGAGCAAAAUUUUACUAAAUUUAUAUAUUUUUUCUUUCUUUCUUUCUUUCUUUCACAGAGCUCUAAAUUUUCAAUAUGUUUCUCUCUUUCUCUUUUUCUN
rnacentral:lncRNA from 1 species